rnacentral:lncRNA from 1 species
ACAAGUAAAGUUCUCUUUGUGUAUAUUGGAUAAUCAAUUUCAUGCUUUUAAUGCUCAAUUACGUUGGUGGUUCAUUUAUAAAAAGUUUUUUUCAAUGAAAUUGCUUUGCUCAAGAAUAGAUUCAAACCUGAAGUGUUGAUUUCUUGUCACAAUCUUCUUUGGCAAAUAAUGAAUGUCCUUUUCAUUAUGAGAGAUGCAAUUGAAUUCCUUCAAGCUUAAUUGUGUUGAGAGCUUCUUUCUUUGGUAGUCUUUACGACAUUUUCGUGUUGAGGCAAAUGGUUUGAAAAGUAUUAUAUAGGAAGUAAGUCCUAGUGCUAUGUUUAGAACAAAAGAACAUCACUUGUGGAAGUCAUUUAGAAAACCACUCUUUGAUUCAUUAAGGAAUGGUCAAAAUUGUAUUUAAAUGAUAAAUUGACAUUUAGGAGAAUUUUAUAUGAAAGCGGAAUAAUCAAUUUUGAAUUCCAUGAAAAUUGAUAGAAAACCUUCAUAAAUCGCGAGUUUC